UGGUUUCAGAUCAAAGUACUCAUGACAUAGAACACACUUAUAACAUAAAACAACAACUAUCAAAAAUAGAGAAAGAUCUAGGGCCUCUGACAUAUGACUGUUAGGCCAAAAUUUUUUAAUUUUCUAGAUUUCUAAAAACUCAAAUUUCGAGCACUUUGAUGUUAUGGAUCUAAGUUUUAGCACCCAGAUCAUUGAAUGACACCCUCUAACAUAAAUUUAAACAUCUAACAACAACAUCUAACAUAAAAUACAUAGACCUACAAGUUUAGGGUUUUAUACCUUUUGAAUGCCCAAUCUUUGAAUCUGAUUCCUAAUGAUCUGAUAUUGGUAAGCUAGAAAAUGAUCAUAGCCUAUCUUAUCACUCUCUUUCACUUCCAAUCUCAAAUUUUUAGAGAGAGAAGGAAGUUGAC
rnacentral:lncRNA from 1 species